rnacentral:snoRNA from 1 species
GCCAAAUGAUGAGCAGAAUAGAUGCAGCAGCUUUCGGGCGGUGAUGACCUCCCAUCUAUCACCCUUCUCUGAUGGCU